rnacentral:rRNA from 1 species
AUAUACACCCGCUAUCCGCCAGGGAACUACGAGCAUUAGCUUAAAACCCAAAGGACUUGGCGGUGCUUUAGACCCACCUAGAGGAGCCUGUUCUAGAACCGAUAACCCCCGUUAAACCUCACCCUCCCUUGCUCUUCCCGCCUAUAUACCGCCGUCGUCAGCUUACCCUGUGAAGGACCUAUAGUAAGCAAAACCAGUAAGACCCAAAACGCCAGGUCGAGGUGUAGCAUAUGAGAGGGGAAGAAAUGGGCUACAUUCCCUGUACACAGGGAACACGAACGACGUAAUGAAACGUACAUCAGAAGGAGGAUUUAGCAGUAAGCAAGAAAAUAGAGAG